rnacentral:rRNA from 1 species
UACGUAGGCAGCGAGCGUUGUUCGGAGUUACUGGGCGUAAAGGGUGUGUAGGCGGUUGUUUAAGUUUGGUGUGAAAUCUCCCGGCUCAACUGGGAGGGUGCGUCGAAUACUGAAUGACUAGAGUGCGGGAGAGGAAAGUGGGAAUUCCUGGUGUAGCGGUGAAAUGCGUAGAUAUCAGGAGGAACACCGGUGGUGUAGACGGCUUUCUGGACCCGUAACUGACG